GAUGAAGAACGCAGCGAAAUGCGAUAAGUAAUGUGAAUUGCAGAAUUCAGUGAAUCAUCGAAUCUUUGAACGCACAUUGCGCCCGCCAGUAUUCUGGCGGGCAUGCCUGUUCGAGCGUCAUUACAACCCUCAGGCCCCCGGGCCUGGCGUUGGGGAUCGGCGGAAGCCCCUGCGGGCACAACGCCGUCCCCCAAAUACAGUGGCGGUCCCGCCGCAGCUUCCAUUGCGUAGUAGCUAACACCUCGCAACUGGAGAGCGGCGCGGCCACGCCGUAAAACACCCAACUUCUGAAUGUUGACCUCGAAUCAGGUAGGAAUACCCGCUGAACUUAAGCAUAUCAAUAAGCGGAGGA
rnacentral:misc_RNA from 1 species